GUGCAUAGGAAAGGCAAGUCUGAAUCGGGCCCAAAGUGAUUCCAAGAUCACGGCAAACGGUAUGAGACUGAUACUGUGUGAGGCCCAGGAGUGACAACAUCAACCCAAGAAAACUCAGUUUCGAAGUAUAGCUGAAGCGCAUACUGGUUAGGACCUGACGGUGGCUGGCAGAGACACGAUCUCCCCUCAUCUCCAGAUGACCUCACUCGACCUCUCAUUGUAGUACCAGCCCCAUCUGCCACCAUCACAUACACAGUCUCUAUAUUCCUCUCUGGAUCGUGUAGCUAUGUACAGCAUUUGUGACGCUCUGGAGCCGAGCUUUUGUGUCUCAGCACCCCAAUGGGAUUAUGAUAAAGGUCCAUCUGACAUUUUAAUAAACUGAAAGUGAUACUCCUGUUAUUUAGAUGGGAAUUCCAGCCUCAAUUCUUAGAUGUUAUCGAAGAGAGCAGUCUGACCCUGUGGUCAGGUCUUUCCCCCUGACCAAGCAGGUGGUGGUGGGACUGCAUCAUGAUGGACAUUAUGGAGCUGCAGUUCUCCAAACAAAUCCUGGAUUAAAUCUUUCAUAAAUGUGCUGG